rnacentral:rRNA from 1 species
GACGAACGCUGGCGGCGUGCCUAAUACAUGCAAGUAGAACGCACAGUUUAUACCGUAGCUUGCUACACCAUAGACUGUGAGUUGCGAACGGGUGAGUAACGCGUAGGUAACCUGCCUGGUAGCGGGGGAUAACUAUUGGAAACGAUAGCUAAUACCGCAUAAUAUUAAUUAUUGCAUGAUAAUUAAUUGAAAGGUGCAAUUGCACCACUACCAGAUGGACCUGCGUUGUAUUAGCUAGUAGGUGAGGUAACGGCUCACCUAGGCGACGAUACAUAGCCGACCUGAGAGGGUGAUCGGCCACACUGGGACUGAGACACGGCCCAGACUCCUACGGGAGGCAGCAGUAGGGAAUCUUCGGCAAUGGACGAAAGUCUGACCGAGCAACGCCGCGUGAGUGAAGAAGGUUUUCGGAUCGUAAAGCUCUGUUGUAAGAGAAGAACGGGUGUGAGAGUGGAAAGUUCACACUGUGACGGUAUCUUACCAGAAAGGGACGGCUACUACGUG